GUUAAGAUGGCAGAGUCCGGUAAUUGCAAAAGACCUAAGCCCUUUACACCAGAGGUUCAACUCCUCUUCUUAAC
rnacentral:tRNA from 1 species